UUGGCUCAGGGCUGGGCACCAGCCCAGUCAGGCUCCACGGAGGUCAGGCCUUGUUGCUGGAAAUCUGGGAGAAGAGAAUUUCUAUUUCAUUUGGGAGUUAAAGGGUGGUGAUGUCAGCCUGUGGCAGUUGGUGACUAUCUUGCUCUCAUAAAGGCAGAGCCAUGUGAAGAUGACACCAGUGGCAGAGCUCAGAGUUGGGGAAGUAUGACUUCUGCUGAUGUCACUGAGCACCAGGUACAGCCCUGCCUGAAGGUAUCUCCCUGUGGAUGUCUCAGGCUCUCUGCUGCAUGAGAAUGGAGACAUGCCUGCUUCACUACCUUCUGUGCCCGGUAUCUGGAACCCGUCCAGCACACAGUAGGACCUCAGCGAAUAUGUGACGGGUCUGUGAUCACUGUAGGCCACAGACAAAGUUCUUCCCAGCAGUGAUGGUUUUGUGAGGCCUCUUCCUGUCUUUGGAAGUAAGAGACCACUCUUCACCAAGUGUCCCAAGCCAAGGACGUCCAGAAUCUUGGACCCGUUCUUGGAGAAGUGAACUGAGAACUUUUCAAGUGCACGUUGCCCCUCCACAGUUUUCUGCCAGUAUC